UACGUAGGGGGCAAGCGUUGUUCGGAUUUACUGGGCGUAAAGGGCGCGUAGGCGGCCUGUUAAGUCGAACGUGAAAUCCCCGGGCUCAACCCGGGAACUGCGUCCGAUACUGGCAGGCUUGAAUCCGGGAGAGGGAUGUGGAAUUCCAGGUGUAGCGGUGAAAUGCGUAGAUAUCUGGAGGAACACCGGUGGCGAAGGCGGCAUCCUGGACCGGUAUUGACGCUGAGGCGCGAAAGCCAGGGGAGCAAACGGG
rnacentral:rRNA from 1 species